CUUUCAUGAGUUAUUUACAAGUUUCUGACCACUUUUAAAAUGUAUUCAAUGUGCUGCCCAUUGUGUUGGAUUGUCAAUGCAACCCUCCAACUCUUCAUAGUAAUACAUAUUAACCUUAAAUAAUUUCCAGGGGUAUCAACAGCCUACCUAUUUACGAAUAGCUACAGAGAUGAGUUUAGAUCUUUUUUAUCUGAUUGGGAAUCAGAUGUAGCCAAGGUUUAAUGAUCUUCAUGCACACUUUAGCACUCCUUACUGCCUCAGAUUUUCAGACCCAGACAACAUUGAACUAUAUUCAAUGCACAGUUUAACUGCACAUUACAUUUCUGUUUGAGUUUUUUACAAUUUCAUGCAGAAAUGGGACAUGGUAACGUGGUUAAAAGGAGAUGGGGGUGGUGCUGUUAGAAGCCAGAUGGACUGAUUGCUCUCAGGCUUAGUGAGAAACACCUGAGCUCUCAGGAUCACCUGUGUCUAACUUUGUUGAAAGAUAAAGACCAGUUUGAAAUCAGCACAGAGUACUUGGCUUAUAAGGAAAUAGUUUCCUUGCUAAGGAUUUGGCAUUUGGUACAGAUACAUAGAAUGGGUGCUUAGAUGGCACUCACGUUCCUAUCUCUGCUUCAUUAAAUGAAGAUUAUGUCAAUAGGAAGGUUAUCCACACGGUCAUUGUGCAGAUGGUUGGGUUGAGGAUACGCUGUUAACCCUUUUCUCAGGCUGUGUGAACAUGAACGGCUGUGCAUCUCUGACCUCCAACUGUUUCCACAAGGCUUCAUCUGAACCACAAUCAUCCAGGAAGUCUGGGAACAAAGCUGCUCUCAGCUGGACUGGGUUGGAGACACGGUUCUGUCAGGUACGAACGGAGUAAAGGAUGCAGCGCAGUGUUCCAUUUGUUUCAUAUCUGACUCUCAUGGGUCCACAGAGGACGAUUCUCCUUCACCAGCAGGUUUACACUUUCAGUUUUUACAGAUUUUACAAAAGGUGUUGAUACCAACAAAGAGGAAGGAGUUCCUAUACAUGUGUUUAUUUGCAAAAUGGGGAAAUGCUCAUAAAAAAAAAACCCUGAACUAUUCCCUUUGUUCCUCUUCAUUAGCAUGGAAUGAAACAACUAUUUUAACAGUGAACUAUGUAACACAUUAAAA